UAUGUUAUUCCAUCCAUCUCCAACAUUUUGGUCAGUACUAGAAUAUGCCUUGCAGGCAGAAUCGAGAUCGUAGCCCCUACUUGUACAAAGUCUUCAGGAAUCACGGUGCAACACUGCAACUGUGCAAGUGUCUGUCAGGUGUGCAGCGAACCAUGCUUGAUUGUGCCACCAAGUUUUCUGUACUACUUUAAUUUACAUAAAAAGAAAAUAAAUAAAACAAAUCGCAGCUCUCGGAUCAUCUUCUCCCUUGCCCCUCGCCACAACCCUCACAAGAGUCAUCUGAGAGGAACUAGAUGACUACCAGCUCCGUGAUGAGUGCCAAAUAAAUCAUGGUGGCCUUCGGCCGCCGCGGCGACAUGGAACGGGGGCCAUGGCCAAGGAGCCUAUGGCACGCGGGAGGCGUCAACUCGUUGAUGCUCGAUCGGCCUGGAUGGAUGCACUGCCAGAGCGAGCAGCUCCGUCCUGAGACCUGAUGGAAGCGGCGGCAAGGUCGGCCGGCGCGUGGCGGUCGACGCUCCAGCGAGCCGCGGCACCAAGCAGAGGAAAGUGAAUUUCCCGUCAAGCGGGAGGAGCAUUGCAUAGGGGUGGGAGGGGGACCGCCGCCAUGGCUGGUCCUGCUUCCUAUGGGUAGACGGGGGCUCGCUUUGGCUACCUGGCCGCGGGGAUGGCGGAGGACGCCGGCGGCCAUGGGUCUGACGUUUGGCUCGGAAUAUAUAUUCGCAGAAAAUUCCCUGGACUGAAUGUAUUAUUUCAUAAAAACUCCUUCACUGUGCAAAUAGCCCCCUCGUUCGGAUCACGAUUACUAAUCGCGAUUCGAUCAUUUACAGAAUACCCCCUGUUUUGGUUAGGAUUUUUGUAGAUAGACCCCCGGUUCGGUUCGGCUUCCGUCCGCCGCCGCUGGCCGCCGCCGUCACCGCCACCCUCUUCUCCGGCGGGGAUCGCGAGGCUUCUUCUCGACGACACAACAAUCCAUGCUUCAUCAGCUUGCACCAGCAAUAUCUCCAGUCCUCUGCUCCCAUAGCAACGGGGCGCCGGAGGUUCUCCACCCUCCCACCUGGGCAGGUUGCGCUUCCUCUGCUUGAAUACCCGCCUCUCGCCGGAGCGCCGCUACCAGCGGGGAUCUCGAGGCCCCACAUCUCGCGCAUGGCACGCCAAUAUCCGGCUCAAGAGCUACCGCCAGCAAUGUUAUCUGCUACGCCAGAGGUCGCAGGCGCGCACCAGGCGCCAUUCGCAUCCUUCUCCUCCCAGGCUGCGCCUCAGAAUGCCAAGUCCACCAUUUUCAGAAUGCGUCAGAGCCUGAAUAUUUUCUGUUUGGCCUCAUGAAUGGAGCAAGUCAGGAACAAAUGGCAGAUACUACGGACUAGUUGCAACUUCAGAGAAGCAGGCAGGUCCAUUGUUUAGAAGAAUCUGAGUCUCUCUGACCAACCAUGUGACAAAUUGGAAUAUAUACCUAGUAUCUACUCCUUUGGAGAAAAGGAGGAAGGAACAACCAUGUCGUUGCUGCAGUGAGAUAGAUAUCCG